rnacentral:rRNA from 1 species
ACAAACGCUGGCGGCAUGCCUAACACAUGCAAGUCGAACGGACAGAACAGGGAAGCUUUUCGGAGUGGAACUGGAAAGUUAGUGGCGGAUGGGUGAGUAACGCGUGGACAACCUACCUUGUAAAGGGGAAUAACCUCGAGAAAUCGAAGCUAAUACCCCAUAAUAACCUUGCUUCGCAUGAAGUAAGGAGGAAAGGCGGCCUUAGCGCUGUCGAUACAAGAUGGGUCCGCGUCUGAUUAGCUAGUUGGUGAGGUAAAGGCUCACCAAGGCGACGAUCAGUAGCCGGCCUGAGAGGGUGAACGGCCACAUUGGGACUGAGACACGGCCCAAACUCCUACGGGAGGCAGCAGUGGGGAAUCUUCCGCAAUGGGCGAGAGCCUGACGGAGCAAUGCCGCGUGAGUGAAGAAGGCCUUCGGGUUGUAAAACUCUGUCCUUAUCGAAGAGAGAGUGUUGUAGUAACUGACAAUACUAGGACGGUAGAUGAGGAGGAAGCCCCGGCUAACUAGGUG